rnacentral:lncRNA from 10 species
GCCUGGUUCAGACUGGGCUUGGGAAGUGAGUCAGGGCCUGACUAUAUGUGAUAAAGAGAAGCUCCUUGCUUUUAAAGGACAGUAAGGGGGUCGUCUUACACUUAGCAGCCCGGACAGAAUUGAUUUUUUUACAGACCCCUCUGUGGGCGAGUGCCUUUUAUGAAAAAGGCAAAAAUAUUUAAUAAGAAUGAAACCCCCUGAAUGGUCCCGGGUCCUAUCAGAAGCGGGAAGUCCCCUUUUUAAAUGGUCGCAGGCAUCUCCUUUGAUCACACGAUAUCACUGAACAUGCAGUCCUCACACCCCCAACUUCAUUCUCAUCUCAUUUUUCUCCACGGUGCAUGCCAGCCUCUGACACGUGGUGGCCCUCUCUCGAGGGGGUGCUGGUGCCUGACUCCUUUGGACACCCUGUGAAGGCAGGGCCAGACAGGUCGCAAGGGAAAACCAUCGGUCAAGGUGAGUGUUGCAGGCGCCCUGGAGGAAGGCACCGUGUCACCUGCUGGCCCAAGGGCUUCCAGAAUUCCAUGAAUUACAACAGGGAAUGCAUCUGCCAAGCAUCCUAGACCCACGUUUCUGGCCGGCACAGCCUCGCCCUCUGUGGAAAUCAGCAUGAGAGGUGCCACACAGAGGCUGCCUGGAGAGUGGGCUGAACAGGGGGAAGGAGUAAUCCCCCAUGGCCGUCUCCACCCUCACAUCUCCAUCCCUGCCACGUGGGGCCUGGGGUCUGGGCUGCUCUCUGGAUAGCCAGGGCUGUGCUAGGCGCUGCUCAGGCUGGGCUCUCUGAUGGCCCCUAAGAUGUCAGCAAGACCUACCCAUGACACCGCCCAAGCCCAGGGCCUGAGGACGGGAGCCUUGUCCUUCCAGAGCACCGGCUCUGGGGCCUGUGCAGGUGGUGCCCAUCUCUGAGUCUCAGGGUUCUCAUCUGUGCAGUGGGGACAUCAGUGGUGUCUGCAGGACAGGCUGUAGGAGGGUGAAGUUGAAAGCAGGUCUGAGCUGCCAGAGGCCCUGGGUCUGGCCCGCCACACACCUGGGGAGUCAGGGACUGCCUGUCCCCCCAGCAGCUGCCCUCCAUGCCCAUGUGCUGGCCAGAGAACCCUGGUCAGGGGCUGAGACAGUGGUGUGCUGGUGGUCACUAAUACUGACCGUCAUUAAACGUUUAGGAAUGCUGACAGCCAUUGUUACAAAUUAAAUUCUACAAACUGAUGAUUAAAUAAAUUGUAUUAAAAACAAAGGUAGUGAAUAUUCCACUCCCUGUCCUUCCUGGUUGCCUUUCUGCAUCGUCUGUGCUCUUACAGCGACGUCUGCUGCUGGGUCUGUGGUGAAAAUGCUGUAUGAGGCUGUGCUACUGCUCUGCCUGCAGUGACGUCUGGGGACAGCUGCAAAUGGGCACAUGUGGAAGCCAGAGGACUGACUGUCAACCUGUCACCGGAGUGGGCCUGGAUUCCACGGCCAGGGGAGGGGCCGCCAGCCUGGGAUGCAUACAGUCCUCACAGCUCUGGGAGCUGGCUUUCAGGGACUCCUCCUGCAGGGUUCUGUGGGUGCUGCUCUAUGCUCUCUCUCCUUCUGCUGAGGCAUAGGGCUUCUCUACUCGCCCUGGGCCAGAGGAGCCAGGCAGCUGGGCAGCGGAAGGCUCGGGUGCCCUGGACAGGCGUCUGCCUAGCACUGGCUGGCCCGGCCCAGCCAGACGCCUGCUGGCUCAUCCGCACAGCCACCCUGUGGGUGAGGGCUUGGUCUGUUCGAGGGAUGGGGGACCGAGGUUCUGGGAGGGGCUUGCCAAGUCCUGGCAGUCAGCAAAUGGCAGGCAAGGACCUGAGCCCCUCCACUGGAUGUGAGGUCAGUGCUGCCCCAAGCACCUGGGGCUGCCUUCAGUGACAGGAGCAGCGUGGUGAUGUGGGGAGAGGUUCAGCUGGAGGCAGCCACACCACGCAGGACGCUAGGGCAUGGUCCAGGAGCCCUGCACUGGCUGACAUGCACUCCUGAAGUUCUGCCUUUAGAGACUGAUCCCUCGCAACACCCAUCUGCCCUCUCCUUGAGUCCUCCUCCCACGCGCGCGUCCCCAAGAAGAUAAGCAUCAGGGCACCAACGUGCUACUCAAGGUCCUGGGGGCAGCAGCAUCAAGGGAAAGGAGACCAGCAGGCAGAGCAUGGCUGUGGGUGACCUGAAACAGCCACCACUCUCUCCCCCUGGAACCCCGAGGGCCAAGGGAGCAGGAGGGCCUGGCCCUGAGCAGCCUCCCUUCUGCAGAGAAAGGCAGGCAUGGGUGGGCAACACUGGGGCCAGACAGAUGGGGGUGGGCUGGUCUUGGGGGCUCAACUUGGAGGGCAGGGCACUGCCUGACAACGUGGGCAUCAUGCAGAGGGCCGUGCGAGGGCAGCUCGUGGAAAGCGCCCAGAGUGGAGCGCUGGCCCUGGAGAGCAAGGGAUGCUCACGCACGCUGCAACCCGGAUGAACCUCAAGGACAUCGUGCUGAGUGAAAUAAGCCAGACACAAAAGGCAUGGCCUGCAUGAUUCCACUCACAUGAGGCACCUGGAGUAGUCAAAUGCACAGCCGGGAAGUAGAAUGGCAGUUGCCAGGGGUUGCAGGGAGGGGAGUUAGUGUUUAAUGGGCACAGGGUUUUAGUUUUGCAAGAUGAAGGGUUUUGUGGAUGGGUGGUGGUGAUGGUUGCUCAACAGUGCUAAUGUGCUUAAUGCCUCUGAACGGUGCACUUAAAAAUGGUUAAUGGCUGGGCGAGGUGGCUCACGCCUAUAAUCACGCUUUUACCAGGCCCAGGUGGGAGGCUGUCUUGAGGCCAGGAGUUUGAGACCAGCCUGGGCAACAUAGUGAGACCUCAUCUCUACAAAAAAAAAUUUAAGAAUUAGCUGGGCGUGGUGGCACACUGGUAGUCCCAGCUACUCAGGAGGCUGAGGUGGCAUGGGAGUGGGAGGGGUGGUGGGGUGCUGGGGGGUGGGGAGGUAGUGCAGUGCAGCAGAGCAGGGUGUGGGAGGGUAGGGGGAUGGAGGUGUGUGUGUGUGUGGAGGGGGGAGAAUCGCUUGAGCCCAGGAAUUCAAGCUUGCAGUGAGCUGUGAUCCAGCCACUUGAAUUCUUUUUAUUUUUUUUAUUAUUUUUAAAUUAUUUUUUAAGACAGAGUUUCGCUCUUGUUCCCCAGGCUGGAGUACAAUGGCACGAUCUCAGCUCACUGCAACCUCUGCCUCCUGGGUUCAAGCGAUUCUCCCGCCUCAGCCUCCCGAAUAGCUGGGAUUACAGGCAUGCGCCACCACGCCUGGCUAAUUUUGUAUUUUUUAGUAGAGACGCUGUUUCUCCAUGUUGGUCAGGCUGGUCUUGAACUCCCGACCUCAGGUGAUCCGCCUGCCUCAACCUCCCAAAGUGCUGGGAUUACAGGCGUGAACCACCGCGCCCAGCCCAGACUCUUGAAUUCUUAAAGCACAGCUUGCCUUAGGGGCUUCAUAAUGGCCCUAGGGCCCCUGGGGCAUCACCCACAGGGUGUGAGGACCCUCCCCUCACCUCCCUCUCUCCCUGCCUCACUUCCUUCUUUCCUCCCUCCCUUCCCUUCUCAACUGAGCCCCCUACUCAGUGCCAAGCCCUGGGCGCCCUGCCUGGAGGAGUGGGCAGAAUGAUGGGAAGGCAGGCGAGUGUGCUGCAACAGAGGCGAGCCAUGGGCUGUGAGGCAUUGCAGGCAGACAGCAGAGGCAGGAAGCAGGCCUUCCUUCUGGGAAGCAGGAGGAGCCCGGGGAGAGUUGCUAGCUGUGGCCUUCUCAGCCCAGGCCCUCUAGCAACUUGGGGUUUGAGGGUCAAACUUCUUUCUUUAGGUAGGUGAGGAUAGAUGUGGAGGCCUCAGAACCCUGAGUUCAAGUCUGAUCUCAGCUUCUUGCCUACUGCGGUAGGGCAGUCGCUUCUCAGUGACUCAACUUUCCCAGCCACAAGAUGGGUCCAGGAAGAGCCGCUUGGGGAGCAGCGGGGCCGGGAGGAUGGGGUGAAUGACUGCCUGGCUGUGGGUAUCUGCAGCUCCUGCUGGCAAUCCUUCUCACCCGCUCGGUCUCCAGCCAGGGGACAGGGACCUGGGGUCCACACCUCAGCCUGAGGUCCAAGGCCAUCCUCGGAGGAGGCCCCACAUUCGUCCCCCAGGUUGGUGCCCACGCCUGCCCUGGCAUGAAGCCACCCUUUCUCAGGAAGUCCAAGUUACUGAAACAGAUAAAUCAAUCUGUCAAGAAGCCUUGGAGAAAGAAUCUCUCAACUCGCUCAGCCAAGAAGCUCAAAAGGCGAAUUGUUCCCAGAGAUGAAGAAGGAAACAACAGACACCUUCUUCCCAGGCUCUGCCUGCGGCUCUCGAGGCCCUGCCCUCCUCCCCCUGCCCCCAGAGAGCACCUGUAGGCUCAGGGCCAGCCCAGGGACAGGCAUGGCAGCCCCUCGCUGGCUGCUGGGGUGGCGCCCAAUUCCAGAGCCCUGUCUGGGGAAGGAGAGGGCCGAGAGCCACUGUUUGGCUCCUGUCCCAGACCUGACUGGGAGACCUUCUGAAAAACUCAGCCUCCUGAUCAACAGAGGGCAGAAGACCUGAGCCACUGGCCUCCCCAUGGAAGAGGCACUCAGAGCGGUAUGAGGAGUAGUGCUCACCCUGGACAAACUCCCGGAGUCAGUGUGACCGUCGGAGCUGGAGGCUGGGGUGAUGGGGGCCAGGGAAACCAAGCAAUGGCCCCGAGGUAGUGAGGAGUCUCUGGAGGCCAGAUACCCUCAAGAUGGAAAAGGAACAUCCUUGGAGGAUUGGGGUGGCUUCUUCCUGGAGGGAGGAGGGACACAUGCCGGGAUGACAGCCAGCUCUGCCGCUGACCAGCUGUGUGACCUUGUGAAAGUCACUUGAUCUCUCGGCGCAUCAAUUUCCUCAUUGUUGCCUGGGCCUCUUGUGAGAUCUUCCUCAUGGCUUGCAGUGAGGAUUGAAUGAGUCGAUCUGUGCCCCGUGGCCCGGGACAUGGUGAGCAUGUGGUAAUGGCAGCCGUUUUAUCCUGUAGUGUAAUAACGGUGUGCAGCUAGACGUCACUCUGGGCACCUUUUCUCACAGAACUGUCACUGCCGUGCUGCAGGAUGCGGAUGGUUGUCUUCACUCUCCAGAUGAGGAAACUGAGGCUCAAGGAAGGGCGGAGCUGCCUGAGGCUUGACAACUCUGCAGUCUGCAGCUGUGAGAGGGGGCUCUUUCUAGCCACACAGCUUUCCCUGGUUCUCGUGCGCUCUGUGAGCAGGAGGACGGGAAGGGCCGCAGCCGCUGAGGGAGCAGGAGGGGUUCGAUGCAAGCCCAGCUCCCAGCACGGGAAAGCCAGGUCAAGAAACACACGGCCUCUGCUGUGGGGCUGAUCACAGCUUUGUCAAAGAGGAGAUGUGGGAGGGGGGAGGUGAAGGGAGCAGGAAGAAAUGAAUGUCAGAAACAUAAAUAGCCCUGGAACUGAUGGACAGUCUGAGAUCUCUGCGCAGACCUGGGCGCCUGCAGGCUGCCACUCAAACCUGAGCAGAAGGGUGAACCCGCCCUCACCCCACUCCCGGUUCCCUACACGCCCCAGGAAAGGGCUGUUGUGAGCGGAAGGCAUUCGUCGAAAACUGGGAAGGUUGCCCAAGAAAGGCAGAGCGGGAAGCCCUCCGUGGGCAGCAGAACCGGGUGAGUCAGCCCGUCGGAGGGUCCCCCAUGUGGCAGGAAGGGGAGGCACAGGGACUGGGCUCGGCCACCUGGAAACACAGGCGGCAACAGCUGCUCAUGCAUGAAAGGUGACAGCUAAGUGUCAUCAGCCUGGGAGUGCCAGGAUAACGUCACCAGGGCGAGGUGGGCCGCGGGGGUGCAACAGAGGCCCCCUAACUUCCCAGGGGAAAAAGCUCACCACUGUCAGGGACAUGAAAGGACUGUCAAAGAGCCAUGAAACCAGCUACGGGGAUUGGGAAACUUCAGACUCACUUCUGUUUGUUUUGUGACAACAUGGAAGCCACAGAUGUUCUCUCAAGGAAACACCAGUUCCCAGGACCUCCGUUUACAGAUGGGAAGACCGAGGCUCAGAGAAUAUAAGCUGCUGGCGGACACACCACUGGGAAGUGGUGAAACCUCACCCAGGCUCUCCCCCUGCCAUGCAGGCUGUCACUGAAAUCAUGCUGGGCCCUCACCAUCCAAGCCGAUGGAUGCUGUCCAUUUUCAGCUCUGCAGUGCUUGGAAAGCCAGCCUUCCUGUUAAUGCUACCUUCAGCUUCCUCAAAAACAGGACGAAACCUACAGGUGCUGCCACAGUGGCUGACGGAAGACUCUCGAAAGAGCUGAUCACAGGCCACCCUCGGUCCAAAUUCCUCCGGGGUGCCUUUACCCUCAAAGCGGUCAGGUUUCUGAGAUGACAAAGCCCCUUUGACAGGCCUGUCAACUUCCCAGGCACCUACCAGGGCCCCAGCCAGGUCCAGAUCCAGAGCUUCCAGGACCCACCAUGUUGCUGGGCCCAUUCCCGGCCCUUCUCUGUGUCUCUGCAGAGGCUUAAUGGAGGGAGGCUCUCUUGAUUGGCAGCUUGUGGGGCAGGUGCCAAGCCUCAUUCAUUACACUUCUCAGCAUCUAACACAGUGCCUGGUGCACAGAAGAUGAAUUCAACUGGCAACGCAAAUGGUGUUCGUGAGCAGCACCCACAAGAACCACUCUCCACAAAGAUCCAACAUCUAGAAAGCCUGAGGCUCCACCCCUGGUUCGUUCUUUGGAGAGGACUGGCUACAUAAUUUGCAGGAUUCAGGGUGAAAAAGCUUCUGAAAAUCCUGGAAUCAGUGGGCAAAGCCUUGGCCAUUCUUCCAGACAGGUCAGUGAAACGCUGAUUAAAAACAAAAAGGACCCUAAGUAAAUUCUCCUUCAGGGUGAAUCUUUAAGUCACAAGCUUCUCCGCCUCCCUGGCUUCCCCUUUGUCCUGUUAAUCAGGCUUUGUUUCUGUGACUGUUAUUUAUUUAGAGACAAGGUAUUGCUCUGUCCAGGCUAGAGUGCCGUGGUUCCAUCACGGCUCACUGUAGCCUCAAUCUCCCAAGCUCAGGCGAUCCUUCCGCCUCAGCCUUGUGACUAUUUAUUGCUGGGCACCCACUAUGUGCAAGCACUGCGCUAAACUCUAGGGCUAGAGCAGUGACCAGUGCCACUGAGGUUCCUGCCUUCCUUGGGGUCACAUUGUAGUGGGGAGCACAGACGAUAAAUAAGUAGAUUAAUAUGCAGUAAAAAGUGAGAUGGUGCUACAUGCUAGGUAGCCAAAAAAAAAAAAAAAAAAAAGGCGAGUAAGGAGCUAUAAAGCUGGGGGAGCCAUAGUGGCGAAGUGAUCGGGGAAGGCCUCCCUGAGGAGGGGCCUUCAGAGCAGACACCUGGAUGAAGGAAGGGCAGGCCACACUGAGGUGGGCGGUGUGUUCAGGGCUGAGGGAAGAUGAGGCACAAAAGCUUGGAGGCAGGAAUGUGACUGGCAAGGGCAGUAGGGGGCAGAUGGGGUAGUGUGGGAGGAAAUGAGAUCAGAGAGGUCAGAGGGAUCCAGAGCUGGCAGGGGCUUGUAGGCUUGGAGGAGUUUGGAUCUGACACCAAUGGCCAGAGGGCAAGAGAUCCUUAGCAUUAUUGGCAGCAGGCAGGCACUUCCCCACCCAGAGGUAACAUUCAAAGUGUCUCUUUUCCUUGGCACACUGACUUGUGCUUCAGUAGUACCUCCUGGGAGCCAGGGAAGAUGCAGGGGACACAGGAAAUGAGAGGGUGCUGGGUUCAAAGCUGUCUUCUGCUGUGACUGCUUUGGAACUUGGGUCCAUUGCUUACACUCUCCAAAUCUCAGACUUUUGUGCCCUGCAGCUUUGUCAGGAGGGCUCAGGGACAUGACAUACCUUAUGGGCAGCCUGGCACACAGUGGGCACUCGGGAAACAUUAGCUAUUCGGGAAACAUUAGUGGUCACCCCUUUUCCCUUCUCCAGAGGGCUCUCUGUUGGGUUUAAUCCCAGCAUCACUAGAAUUCCAGGUCCCCUCCCUCUUGGGGAACAAUAGUGUUUUGUCAUAUGCAUUGUCUUCACAUUUCCUUCCUGGAGUUCAGGGGAGGAAAGGGACUUAAGAUUUGUUCGGUGCCAGCCCCCUGCCUGACACCUGCUACACACAAGUCCACAUCAUCCCCCAGAAAGCCCAGGAAGUGGAUACAAGCAUCUUAUUUCAUGGGCAAGGAAGCCGAGACUCAAAGGGGCUAAGGGAUGUAUGCCACAGCUCAUAGGUGGCAGUGCCAGCGUUCCAGUCCAGGCAGGACUGCAAUCAGCCUGGUGGUGCUGGAGGCCAGUUGACUUUGUGUGACCCCGUGGUUUUCCCAUGAAAGAAACAUAAGGACCAGUGCUUGUACCCUGGGCCCCAAUGCUGGGGUCUGAAUCUUGCCUGUGCUUCUUCUAGGGAAGUUACAGGGACAAACAUCCAACAUGCCUCAGUUUCCCCAUCUUGGGGAGAAGAAUAACAGUCCCUACCUUACAUGAUUAUUGUGGGAAUGAAAUGAGAUUACUCACGCAUGUACCUAGGACAGUCCCCGGCACACAGUAGUUGCUCAAAUAACCUUAACUAUCGUAUUAUGCGAAAGUUGUGACCUGGCAUUUUCUUAGUAAUGCUUUCUGAAUCAGAUCCUUCAAGCCUACUCUUCCUUAGGCUGCCCCAGAGGCAAGGAACCGGGUUCCCCGUCUGUGGCAGAUUGUACUUUCACAGAGGACCACAGCAGCCUAUCCCACUUUGCAUGCUCUUCUGCAUUGGCACUCUGCAUUCCCCUUCAAGAAGUGGAGUCAUUCCCCUCUUCCUUGGACCUGGGGCCAGAAGUCAUGUUCCAUUCUUAUCAUAGGUCCGAAAAGGUCACUGAGCUUCCCCUUGCUUCUCUUGGGAUGCUUGCUCUGGGGAAGCCAGCUGCCUCCUAAGUCCAAGUGCUCCGGGACUGUCAUUGUGGAGACCAGGAGCAGGUGCCGGCUGUGCCUGCAUGGCAGUGAAGCCACACUGGACCCUCUAGACCAGCCCACCCACAGUUGAUGCCAUGGAGAGUGGAAUGAUUUUCCAGUGGAGCCCUGCCUGAAUCUCCCAAGAGAGGGGGAGCCCACAGGGUCAGCUGAGUUGAAAUCUGAAGAUUGGGCAGAGAGCACCAAGCCUGCACCCAGUGAGACAGCAGCCCCAGCAUGUGGCUGUUUAAAUUAAAAUUAACUGAUAUUGAGUGAAAUGAAAAGUUCAGUUCCUCCAUCACACAGGCCAUGUUUCAAAUGCUCGGUAGCCACAUGGGCACAGAAUUGCAGCAAGUUCUAUUGGAGGCACUGCUCCAAGGCCCCGGGGUCCUACUGACCAGGUGGAAGGCCACCCGCCAGCUGGGAACAUCCACAUGGAGCUUUGUGUGCCAGAGAAGUCAACUUCUUGAAUGAAGUUAAGACGUGGGCUGGGGGAGGUGUUUGCCACUGUAACUAACAGGUAUCCUGUUAGUUAUCCUGGCCUGGAGGAGCGUUCCAUCUGGUACAGAACAGAGAUAAGUAAACAGUCCAUCGUGGGCCGGGGGAGACACAGGAGCCUGAAGAUCCCUGGGCCCAGAUGCAAGGCGAGGUAAUCAGAGAUGGCCCCAUGGAGGAGGCAGCACCUAUCCCCAGCACCAGGUCCAGCCAAGGGAGAAUGGUGAGAGGCAUUUCGCCUCCAUUUCUCUCCCGCAGUUCCUAGCUCUCCUUCUUUCAGGCACCAAAAGCCUCCUGCUGUCUUCUUUCCCACUGGCG